rnacentral:lncRNA from 1 species
UGACCUCAUUGCUAUUCCAUCUAUUGGGGAGAGUCAUGGAAAGAUACUUGUUAAUUACAAUUCCUUGCCUUUGACAUCCAUUAUUUUUUAUAAACAGCCUCUACAAUGCCUCAUUAAUAACAAGAAUCCACAGGGUAAGCUUUGGAGGCAGGAGCAUAGCUGAAAGGCUCUUCAUCUGUACACAUGAAGGAACCUUCAUAUUUCACAUUUGCAUCUUAAGAUUCUUUGCUACUGAGAUGUUGAAGAGAUGACUUUCGAUAAUAUUCCCCCUUCUUUUCUGCCCCUUUCCAAAGGGAAACCAUGAUCUUUUUAUGGAGAAACCAUAAUCUCUUGGAAAGAAAAAAAAUACCCUGUACAAAAUCAUUGAAGAUUACUUUGGGAGAGAAGGAGGGAAUACCAGAUGACAACACUGGGAUUCGAAAUUUCCAUGGAGAAGCCCCCAGUUUGGAGAUGGAAAACCAGGAUGCUUUAUAGCCCUGCUCAGAG